rnacentral:misc_RNA from 1 species
CUCUUUGCAAUACACAUCGCAUCACUUGAGAUCGUUGACGGUGAUCCGCUCUCAAAAAUGGGACUCAGCGAAUCGAAGCCAAAGUUGUCUCAGACGGCAGCGAAGCCGGAGAAGUCGCAAAUCACACCUUCUGACAAAGCACGCCUCCAGCUGAAGCUUCAGCGAGACAAUGUACAGGCAGCUAUUCGUAAGUAUGAACGCGUUGCGGACCUGGAGCAUGAGAAAGCGAAGGAGUUCAUGCGUGUAGGGAACAGGCGCAAGGCGCUAUACUGUCUUAAGCGAGAGAAGGCGCAGCAGUCGCAGAUCUCUAUAGUGACCGACAUGUUAGACAAUAUCCAGCACCUGAUCGAUACUGUCGAGUUUUCCCAGAUUCAAAGGGAGGUAGUCGCGGCCAUGAAGGACGGCAAGUGCGAGCUGGACAACCUGAACAAAAUGCUUGAUAUCGAUGACAUCGAAAGGCUCAUGAAUGAAGCAAGUGAAUCUAUUGAAGAGGCUAACCAGAUCAACGCUGUACUUAGCCAGCCUCUUGCCGGGCUUCCCGACGACGACGAGCUGCUGCGCGAGUUGGAGCAAUCCGCUGGUACACAGAAAGUCGACCAGGAACUCCCCAAUCUUACAGUGCCUAGCCAUACCCUUCCUCAAAAGGAAUCGAAGUUCAAGAGGAAAGAGGAAGAGAACGAGCAAUACGGAGAUGCUGUACCUGCUCGUCAGUAUGCUUAGUAAGCUACCGAGCUCUUGUUUUCAAGAAGCUACUCUGCAUUAAUAUUGCGUGUAGAUGCAACAGUG